ACUAUUAGGCUGGGCUGUGAUGGGGAGCGAAAAUUGCAGUAGCGAAGGUCAUGUACUCCGGCUGUCGAGAAAAGCCUCUAGCCAGGCGAAGGUGCCCGUACCGCAAACCGACACAGGUAGGCGAGCAGAGCAUGCUAAGGCGCGCGGAAGAACUCUCGUUAAGGAACUCGGCAAAAUGACCCCGUAACUUCGGGAGAAGGGGUGCCUCGGUAGGGUGAAUAGCCCGAGGGGGCCGCAGUGAAAAGGCCCAAGCGACUGUUUAGCAAAAACACAGGUCUGUGCGAAGCCGUAAGGCGAAGUAUACGGGCUGACGCCUGCCCGGUGCUGGAAGGUUAAGGGGAGCGGUUAGGGGCAACCCGAAGCUGUGAACCGAAGCCCCAGUAAACGGCGGCCGUAACUAUAACGGUCCUAAGGUAGCGAAAUUCCUUGUCAGGUAAAUUCUGACCCGCACGAAUGGCGUAACGACUUGGGCGCUGUCUC
rnacentral:rRNA from 1 species